rnacentral:rRNA from 1 species
UUUAGUCUAUUCGAUAGUCUCUUACUACUAGGAUACCCGUAGUAAUUCUAGAGCUAAUACUUGCGUAAACACUCGACUUUUGGAAGAGUGGUAUUUAUUAGAUUGAAACCAACCUGUUUCGGCAGUGUACUGGUGAUUCACAAUAACUUUGCGAAUCGCAUGGCUUUUGCCGGCGAUAGUUCAUUCAAAUUUCUGCCCUAUCAGCUUUCGACGGUAGACUAGUGGCCUACCGUGGCAUUAACGGGUAACGGAGAAUUAGAGUUCGAUUCCGGAGAGGAAGCCUGAGAAACGGCUACCACA